rnacentral:rRNA from 1 species
AUUGAACGCUGGCGGAAUGCUUUACACAUGCAAGUCGAACGGCAGCACGGGGGCAACCCUGGUGGCGAGUGGCGAACGGGUGAGUAAUACAUCGGAACGUGCCCGGUCGUGGGGGAUAACGUAGCGAAAGUUACGCUAAUACCGCAUACGAUCUGAGGAUGAAAGCGGGGGACCUUCGGGCCUCGCGCGAUCGGAGCGGCCGAUGUCAGAUUAGGUAGUUGGUGGGGUAAAGGCCUACCAAGCCGACGAUCUGUAGCUGGUCUGAGAGGACGACCAGCCACACUGGGACUGAGACACGGCCCAGACUCCUACGGGAGGCAGCAGUGGGGAAUUUUGGACAAUGGGCGCAAGCCUGAUCCAGCCAUUCCGCGUGCAGGACGAAGGCCUUCGGGUUGUAAACUACUUUUGUAUGGAACGAAAAGGCUCUGGCUAAUACCUGGGGCUCAUGACGGUACCGUAAGAAUAAGCACCGGCUAACUACGUG